CAAGGAUUAGACACACACGGCAUUUUAACUAGAGAAAGUUGCUCAAUUGAAAUAUUUUUUUUCUUCCUAUUUGUUUAAACACAGAAGACAAUCCAGAGCAGACAAUUUUCGAUCUGCACCAAAAGAAGCUCCUUGGACAUUAGUUUACCGCCAUCUUCCAGCUCCUUUACAUGUGAACAAGGACAACAUCAGGAAGUUUGACCAGCUUAAACACAGAGGUAAUAAAGGACACACUCACACAACACUGGGACUAUGGUGCUUUAUGUUUAAUGUUCUUUUUUGUAUGCCUUCUCUUAGAGAAAUACCAGUGGACAUUCAGCCCAGAGAGACAGCGUCUUGGAGUCUGAUUCCACUUUUAUUGUUCGAAGCUGGUGUGAGUAACAUUGUAAAUAUGCCACCUGCUUCAGCAGAACUGGGACCUGCUCUCCAUCCUGACAGAGCUGUCUGUUUGUGUAAUGCACUGUCCAGGUUUGGGUUUUGUGCUGGGAACAGAAUAUGA
rnacentral:lncRNA from 1 species